CGUAAGCGCUCAGGGUACGCUGACACAGCGCUGACCGCACGCAGUCCUGCUGGCUGAAACGAAUGAUAGCGAUCAUGUCAUCAUCCUCCUGGAACCGUUCCAGCGCGUCCGCCAGCCCGGAUUUUACCCCGCGCGGCAAAUCGCAUUGCGUCACGUCGCCGUUAACGGUGACCGUGACAUUCUCGCCCAACCGGGU
rfam:Candidatus Sodalis pierantonius str. SOPE, complete genome.